GCGCCUAUAGCUCAGUCGGCUAGAGCGCCACGCUUACACCGUGGAUGUCGGGAGUUCGAGUCUCUCUGGGCGCACCA
rnacentral:tRNA from 1 species